rnacentral:tRNA from 1 species
GGGCCUAUAGCUCAGUUGGUUAGAGCAGAGGACUCAUAAUCCUUUGGUCCACGGUUCUUAUGUGGUAUGAAUGUAGGUGUGGCA